AAUGCUCCAGGCUAUCUAUGUACAAUUAUAUAUGUCUUUAUGAGUGGAAAGUCUCCAGAGUUGCACAUUGUCAGUCAUUGCUGCUGGUCAAGGGGAGGUGUUAAAAUUAGACUGCUGGCUAGAAGACUAUUAGGAAAUCAGUUUGGGCUUUUUACUGUGUUUUAGCAAUCUAAUUCUUAGAAUAACUGUUACGGGGCUUGCUGCCAAUUAUUUCAAACAGCUUGAAAAAUACUUCUGCCUAGGGUAAAUACAAUCAACCUGAGAAGAACUCAAACUGCUGCUUCAGAGCACUUGCAUAAACAUACAUUCUGCAUCUACAAUUACGAGUUUUACAGAACAAAAUUUAUUUUAAGUGCUAUUAAUGGUUUGGAAGGCUUAUACUAGCCUCCUGCAUGCACAGGCUAUUUGACCACAGGUGUCUGAUUCAGAAGGUCUGCAAAACAUCUACUUUGCAUGUUUGCAAGCAGUCCAGGAACAAAUUGUUUGAUAAUGCUGUUACAAACCUAGGCCAUAUGUGAUGAAGUAACAGAAGCCAGGAACAAAUAAGAGUAUUGUGUGUGCUAAGUGAUUGCAAUAGGAGGUAACUUGAUGAGCAAAAUGCACAGAAGUCUUAAAAUUAUGCCUCAUGCUAAAGAAUGGACUCCUGGUACUGCCACAUGGACACUGAAACCAGAGAGGCUGCUUUGACAUGUUCUUCCCUUGGGAGGCUCAGCUGAGACUACAUGAUUUAUUUCUGAAAAACAGAAGCCUGCCUUUUUUGAAAAAAAAAAAAAAAAAAAAAAGUCUCCAGGCUUGAGGAAAGAUCAACUCUUCUUCAGCAAAAGACCAAAUUAUGGCCCAACUCUAUCUAGAGACUAAUGAAUGUGGUUAUGAUACAGAGAAAUCAUCUGCACCUUACAGCUGGAAAAUGCUUGUUUCUCACAUACUACAGUAUACUACAUAUACUACAAGUAUUAUGCACGCUGAUUUCCCACGUAGGGGAAAAACAACAGCAACAAUAACUACUGCUGCCCACAGUGAACAUUUUUCAGUCAGGGCAGUGUCAGAGCAUUUCAUGCGAGUGCAAUCAGAAGCAAUCCAGGAAUUCAGAAGACCAGGAAUCAGACAGCUGAGGACAAAGAGAGCGUGGUCUGCCUGAAAUCUAGCUGCUGUCAGGUGAGAAAGAUGGUGAGACUGGGAGGAAGAGCGAAGAGAGAAAAUGCAAUGUGAUGCUGAAAUCACACUAUUGUGCUGACCCUAGGAGUGAUUCACUGAGCUCCUCUGUCCUCUAUCAGAGAAAGGAAGCAAUAAUCAGAGAACAUUCAGAAUUUCUGUCUGUGAAAAGGCCCAAGCCAAACGUUCUGCUCUCAUUAUUAUGCUGCUAUAGGAGCUAACUACAGACAGCUCUAGGAAGCAAGAGUUACUGUGGGCAAAAGGAAUGAAAUCUGGUUAAAAUUAACUUUUGUUUCCACUACUGUGAGGGGAAAAAAAAGAGAAGGGGCAUUUGACUGUUGUCUAUUUGUCCAGAAUUUUUAUUGCAGAUGUGACUAUGUAGUUACACAUACAGUAGUUAAAGACUCAUAAAUUCUAUUUUGAAGGUCAAAAGUCUCUAAAAUUUAUUAUAGUUUUGAUUGUGAUUUAUAGCUGCAGAGAUAGGAUGUUCUGCUCAAGCCAAGGGAAGCUGCCAAAUGCAACCACACUUCGAUAGGCACAAAGUACCUUUUGGAGGAAUUCCUGGUUUUGCUUUAUCAUAAAACAUCCAUCAAAUUGUAAUCACUUCAUUGUUGCACAGUAAGUAGCUUUUCUAGGUUAA